AAGGGUUUAGUUUAAACAAAAACAUUAACUUGUCAAGUUAAAAAUAUAUUUAUAUAUAACUCUUA
rnacentral:tRNA from 1 species